AGGUCAUUUCAGAGAGGGCUGAUGGAAACAAAUCCCAGAGCCCUUAACACUGACCAAAGAUUGAGUUCUCCGCUGGAUAUAGUAGUCACUUGAUGGUGUUAUGUUUCCUGAUGGAGAUACAAGU
ensembl:snoRNA